rnacentral:lncRNA from 1 species
AGACCUUGCAGUGCAAAAGUAUGUUACUAAAGAAAAUUACAAGGAUACGAGAGCAUCGCAUUUGGUAGUGGCUGCACUCAUAGCAACAGUAGCCUUCGCAGCAGCUUUCACCAUUCCUGGCGGUUAUAGAAGCGAAAAUGGAACUGCAAUCCUGAGGAGAAAUACAGCUUUUCAAGCAUUUAUAGUAGCAGAUUCCAUUGCCAUGGUCUUUUCUCUUUCUGCCGUCUUUACUCACUUCUGCUUGUCUCUUCUAAUUGAAGAAACUAAAGAUUUCAAUGAGGCUCUGUUUGGUGCUUCAGUUUGGUUCACCAUAUUUUCCAUGGGAGCAAUGGUGAUUGCAUUCGUUACGGGAACGUAUGCAAUGUUAGUACCUUCUUUAGGCCUUGCUAUUAUCACUUGUUUAAUUGGCUUGAGCUUUUUCUUGCUUGUGAUUUUGAUCAUCAGAUUGUCUAUUACGGAGUAGGACAAAAGUAAUUGAUUGUAGUGAGUCACCAUCUUUGUUUAUCAAUAAAAUGAUUGAUUUUCAUUUUAACAUAAACAUUAACUAAUUUACUCAAUCUUUGCUAAUAAUGAAUUAUUAUUUUAAUUGUACAUUGAUCACUGAUGUUUUAAUGAAAAUCAAAUUUGAGAAACAGGCAGGUCUACUUUGCUGUUAAUAAUUAGAUUGAAUUGGUGAGAGAAAGUCAAAAUCAAAUUUAAUAUUUCAAAUUGUUUGUACUUUCUUAUGUUGAUUGAAUAAAAUCUUGAUUACUUUGUCAAAAAAAAAAUUGAAAAAUUUUAUCUCUUUGUAUAAUGCGUCAUUAGAAAUCUUUAAUUAGAUAUGAUUAAAGAAAACCUAUGAUGCGUGUUUAAGGGUGGUGUCUAUAUAUAUAUAUAUAUAUAUAUAAUAUGUUUGUUUUAAUAGGUUAAUAUAUUGUCAUCAGAAUUUUAUUAAUAUUUACAAUAAAAAAUUUAUCAAAACUAUUCUUAAUAAGUCUAGUAUGACAUAGUUUGAAUUUCUACCCUCACAUAAUAUUAUAGGGAUGUUUGCUCUACUCAUAUUAAUGGAGAAGAAAUUUACUCCUAUCCAAUUUAAUUAGAAGGGAAACCGGGUCCAAUAAUAAUUAGGACUCAAAGGUUGUACUAAUGGGCUAAGAAAAUGAGUACUUAUAUAAGUAAAUUAAAAUUUACCAUUCAAUAGAGAUAAUGACACAUCAUUUUAAAGUCAAAUCCUACGUCACCAAAUGAGUUGAAUUAAGACCGAGAAAGACCAAAAGGGAGGGACGUUACUUUGGAGGAAUUAUUGCAACCAUUGAAAACUAACAAUGGUUGAGGGGAAAAAAUUGAUUUGGGUUGGCUAAGGUAGAUUCUUUUUAAGAAGCACUAACUAGAAAAAGAAUUUUAAUAUAUUUACAUAGAUGGCAGCUAGUUUUGUCCGUAAAUUCUUUUUUAAAUAUCUUUAAUAAAUUUUAACAAGCAACAAGGUAUUCAAUAUGUGAGAGAUUUGAGAUGAAUUAGAUUGAAACUAAAAAACAGAGUCUCUUUGACAGUACAUUAAUAGUGCAUUUAUUAACUAAGAAUCCUAAUAGUCAAGAGUUAUUAUGGGUUGGAAUCAAAAUGUGGAAGAAUAAAUUUUCUACUUCAACUACAAGAAUCGAGAUCGAAAUCAACAGUAUUUCAAAUUUGAUGUGUUUAUUUUGUCUUAAAAUCAAAAUAGAUGGUUGUAAGUUACCAAAAUGGAGUAAAAAGAAAGUUUUAAUUUUCAAUAAAGAUAAACAAGUUUUACUCUUUGACAGUACAUUAAUAGUGCAUUUAUUAACUAAGAAUCCUAAUAGUCAAGAGUUAUUAUGGGUUGGAAUCAAAAUGUAGAAGAAUAAAUUUUCUACUUCAACUACAAGAAUCGAGAUCGAAAUCAACUGUAUUUCAAAUUUGAUGUGUUUAUUUUGUGUUAAAAUCAAAAUAGAUGGUUGUAAGUUACCAAAAUGGAGUAAAAAGCAAGUUUUAAUUUUCAAUAAAGAUAAACAAGUUUUACUCUUUAUUCUCAAUUCUCCAUUCUUAUUCCCACCUCUUCUAUCCAAAUGAAAUUCCUACUCAUUCUCAAAUAUAUGCAACUCACUCAAAAUUUAUUUAUAUUUCUUUGUAUUUUUAGCAAGUAAAUAUUAUUAACAAUUCUCAUUCCUCAUUUUUUAAAUAUAAAAAAUAAACACAUCAACGAAAUCAUGUGGUUGUCCUGAAAUUGAUUUAAGAACCCACAUUGAGAAUUUGUUUCCUUCUAACUUUAUUUUGACUUUCAGAAGACACGACUCCACUCCCACAUUAAACCAAUGGCAAGUGGAUGGUUGCUGGCUGUGAGGAAGCCACUUUGGAUUCGGUGAUUGUCACCCUUAUGAGUUAUGACCACAAAAAAGGAAAGUGGAUGAAAAAGAAAAUUACUCAUUUUUUUUUUAAAAAAAGGAAUUUUGAUUGUAGACUCUGUAGUCUCUACUCAUUGUGAGUUAGAUUCUCUUGCUACUACUUACUAGACAUGUCGCUUGUAACUGUUAGUCGCAUCAGGGGGCCUAUCUCCCCAACAAAUAACCAAAACGCACAACAAAAGAAAAGAAACAGAGAGGGGAUUUGUGAAAUACUGAAAAUUACGGUCAUAAUAAAUUUUAAUUAAUAUAUGUGUCACAACUACUAUAAACAAUAAAAGAUAAAUUAAGAAUUUUUAUUAUUUAAUGAUUUUUUAUCAUUUUAAUUUUGACUAAUAGACGAACUUAGUGGCAGUUUAUUUAUUUUUUACUUAAUAACUUAAUUGACUUAAUUUUAAUUAGUUAAGCCAUUAAGUCUGUUUGUUUUUUAAAUUUAAUGAAGAUUUUUAGCAAUUAAGUUAUUAAGCUAAUUUUUUUAGCUUUUUAAUUAAUCUAAAAAAUUUGAAUGCUAUCAUUAAAAGAUAUUUUCUAAAAUAUCCCUAUUUAAUUAAUUAAUUUUCAUCCUUAGCUAAAUAAAAUUUAAUAAUUAGCAUUAUUACUCAUUUGUAUAUAACUUGUGAUAAUAUAUAGUGGUAGCCUAUUAUUAUUUUUUAUUUUUAUUUUGUUCAAAUUAGCAUUAUUUAUCUUCAUAAUUUUUUAUGAAUAUUUUUCAUAUAAAAACAUCACAAACUAUAAUAAAAUUGAUUAACAUAUAUGAUAUAAAAUAUUAAAGAGUUGAACUCAAUUGAAUAUGAUUUAUGUUAUGAUAAUUUAUUACCUUAUUUAUUUUCUUUGAUAUGUUUAUUAUUUGUUUAACAUUAUAAUUUGUAAGGGCAUAAAUGUAAAAAUAUUAGUUUUCAGAUUUUUUCAGUCAAAAAAACAAACAACUUAAUAUUUAUUUCUAGCUAUUCAGACAAAAAAAAUAAACAUAUAAUUCAAAUUUAGACAUUCAGUUCUAUUCAGAAUUCAUACUAAUUUAGGUUUAUUCAGAUUUUAGACAAAAAAAUAAACGCCACCUUAAUGAUUUUGAUAAAUUAAUGAGAUAUUUCUUUUUUUUAAAAAAACAUUUAUACAACUUUGUAUUCUCAUUCAUAUUUUAAAUGAACAAUUUGUUAAAAUUAUAAAUAUAAUUAUUAUUAAUAAAAUAUCACUCCAUUGUUAGUCUACUAUCUUUUGUUCACCUCUUAAGGGUAUAUUUAAAAUAAAGUGAGUUAGUUUGGGUACGUUGUUUUAUAUUUUAUUUUUUAAAAUAGGGCUCAGGCAGCUCUUACCAUUGCAGCUAGACCUUGGCUGUACCCUUGGUAUAUUGGUAUAUUUAUGGGGUAUAUUUUAUAUACAAACUGAAUUGUGAAUGCCAAUGCGGGAUUUUACUGCCUUGCUGCCAAAGUUGCUUAUUUAUUCUGGCUGCAUGAUUCGUGAAGUUUUUUUUUUAAUUUAUUUAUUUAACUUCAAUUAUUUUCUCAGCUUUAUUUGAAACACAACUAGAAAAGAAUAUCUACCUGUUUUUUAUUUUUCAGUUCUUGAGGUAACUUAAUGUGUAAAUGCUUCUACUUUGAAGAGUAACUAAGUAAGGAUAAUUUACUUGAAUUUCCUGUCCAUUUUAGUGCGAGAAACUAUGGUUUGGGAAAGCACACAUACCUCGUUUAGCUCUAAUCAAGGGGUUACCAAAGUUGGCCGCAUAUUCGUUGUCUGUAAUGGAUGGCAAACGUGUGAGUGCUUCUCCCAUCUCUCUUUUCAUUCGCUCACUUUUUAUAUACACGUGCGCACGAGCUUUCACUAACUAUUCUGUUCUUCAUUUGUAUGAUUCUGGUAGACUCAUAUCACUAAAGAAGACCUUUGUGAUCAUGUUUGGGAGCUUCAUUUUAAUUAGGUAUGUAAUUUUAGUAUGGUGCUUGUUAUACAUUAUUAAGAGAGUCUGCUACUCCACUGUUCCUGAUGGCCACAGGGUUGGUGCCUUGGUGGUACAAGACCCCUGCUUGUAUGCGUCUAGAAUGAACUACUGCUGGGUUUGCCAAAUACUUUCUAAAUAUAGAAUAACUAUCCAAUGAGAAAGCUCGAUCAAACUCAAAGACAUGAAUAAUCACAUAUUUUAAUGUUGUGUUCUCUUUGCAUCCUAAGAACUCAUCUUCGGCUUUGUUUAGGCAAUAUUUAUUUGAAUUUUAGUUCGACCCAUAAUAUUUUUGGUCCAACAGUGUUAACUUAGUUUUUCAUUUUUGAAAUGUAAAGAAAAUAUAUGAAAUUUUCUCAAAUUAUCAGUGUAAUUAGAUUUCUCAUUAAAAGUUAAUAAUAAACAAAAGUAAUUAAAAACACGGUCAGCUGUUAAUACUUAUGUAACUUACACUGAUCCCAAUAUAUAUACGGCGGACAUGUUCGGCCGUUAGGCAAACAGUUUUUGUUUCCUCUCAAUUAGUUGGGAAAAACUAUAAACGAAAGAGCGAGACAGAGAAUAUUGAAGCAAAACCAUCCAUCCAAUUACACUACCAAACAAGAGUGAAGAGCCUUUAUUGUUAAAAUGUGAAUUGCUUAAAUAAAAACCUUAGUUUGCAUGAAUUUUAUGUGUGUGUGUGUGUAUAUAUAUGUAUAAUUCUUCUUUAGUACGGGUGUGGUUCAAUAAAGUUAGUGCAUAACGUUAUUAAACCGCACAACGUAAGAGCAUGUUCGCAUUAAAACAAAUGAAGGCAUCCGCGCCUGAAAAUGAUUACGUGUGUGUGUGUGAGUGUAUGUAUGUAUAUAUCUUUUAAUUUAUUCAACUUAUAAGGAUAUAAUAGUGAGCUAUCACAGACAAUUACACAAAUAUUUAGACGAAUGUACAGAUAAACGAAUAAUUGAUUUCUCAUGCCGACGUAUUAGGAAAAAUAUCAGUAUACUAAAGUAUCACGUAAUGAUUUAUACACAUCUUUUUAACAUGUACACAAUCAAUUCAGAUGUCGCUAAGGGAUUUUUGUUCUUGCUAGGUAAAUUAUAAAUUUACUCCCAGAAGAUUGAUUAAAUACAUAUAAUUUAGGUUCAAAAUACAACCAGCAAUGUAACUGAUCAACAUUAGAAAAUGAUUCAUGGUCUCCUAUUUGCCAAAUCUUACCCACGCAGGUACCAAAUCUGAAAGAUGAACACAUCAGCAACAGAAAACACAACCACCCCAUAGGGUGGAAUAAAAUAAAUAAAUAAAUAAAUAAACCUGAAAGUAUACAUACAACUUGAUCUAGACAUUGUAUUAAAGAUGUUCCCAGUAGAGCUUGAGCAUGUUGGAUGCAUGAUAAUGGAGAUGCUCUUUAAUAGAGUCUCGGAUGCAUUGUGAUCUUCUUAUCAGAUUAUCUAUAGAUUGAUCUCCAAGUCUGUUAUGGACUAGUUGUUGUACUAUUAUGUUGUUGUUGGUGUGAAAUUAUAUCCCUGUGAGAAAAAAAAAAAAAAAAAAAAUUUCUAGCACAUUUGUAUUCACCCGUUGGUAUUAAUGACAUUAAUGCUUUUUACACAAGUAAGAGGGGGGCAAGAGAGAUCUGCUAGAAAGAAUAAUAUAUUUACAUGACGAGUCUAGCUACGUUGUGUCGGACGAUGCCUUACAUGACACAUAUGUAAUAGACACCUGAACUCUAUAAUUCUCGUAUUGGAAGCAAAUCUCCUUUAAAUUUAUAAUAUAUUAUAAACACAACUAACAAAAUUUUAUACAAUCCAUUUAGCAACACAUGAACACAACAUGAAAAAAUAGAUUUAGAUUAUUAAAUUUGACACAAUUAUUAAAUAGGUUGUGUUAUUCUAUUUCAUAAAAUUUGACCCAUCUACUCAAUUAAUGAAAUGAUUACUACGAAGGAUAAACAUUUAUGUGCUAUUCUAUUUCAUAAAAUUCUAGAUGGAUUUAAAACUUGAAUGGUGUAAAUAUGUAAUAUUUCAAUAGAUAUGUAUAUUUUUAUGAUAUCGAUAUAUAAUAUUAUUUAAAUAUAUAAAAAUUGUAAAAUUUUUAUCAAAUAGGGGCAAAAAUGAUUGAUAUAAAUCAUGUUAAAUGAGUAUUAAUUAAAUGGAUUAUUAAGUAAGUCAUGACACAAUUAUUAAUUAAUGAGUUACGUUGUGUCAAUUGUUUAUUUUGCAUAUCAAACUUGAAAUUUUAAUAUUUAAUACAAUUAUUAAAUAAAUAUCUAAAUUACUCUAAUGAUAUUUUAAAUUUCACAUGGCAACGAAAACCACUUUGUCAUCGGUUUUGCCACCUCUAAAUUAUCACAAUAAAUAACCAAGUCAUGGACUUGCUGUUUUGCCAAGCAAUCACUCAGUAUCUUGCCACGUAUUUGAGUCAGAGGUCAAACCCCCGAUUUUCGUCCUUCAAUUGAAGGAUGAUUUUGUUUUGGAGCUCGGCGUGGCAAGAAUGCAUUAUCGGACCAUUAUAAACUAACAAAGUUGAAUAAUAAAUCAAGUGAUAAUCGAUAAAAUCGAGUAAAAUAAUAAGUCAAAAAGUACUAGUUUUUUAACCUACAGGCCUGUAGUUCAAUAAUAUCUACGAGAGAAUGAGUUUGAGCCACGUAAAAUUUAUUAUAUUUAAAAAAUAGUAAAUUUGUCGAACAGUAUUUUUCUACAUACAAUAAAUAAUUUUUUUUAAAAUUAAAUAUGGGCAUUUUAGCUUUAACAUAUUUUUAUAUUUUCAUGUUAUUUGGAGCGUAUUUAUUGCAAUUACCUCGUUUUCGCGGCUUCGGGUGAUUCGCUUGCUCUGUCUACUACCACACAGAAUGGAACUGCGAGAAAGAGAAGAACAGGAAAACGAUGUCGUUUUACCGAAGAAGAAGAAGACGAAGAUGAAACUGAUAAAGGAGAGAAAGCGAGAGGAAAGAAAAGAAAAACUCGAAGAAGAAGAAACUGAAGAAUUAUUGCAGGACCCACUGGAGGCUUUUGGUAGAGACAUAAUGUUGAUGAUACUUCAAAACCUAAAAGCACACAGCGUAGCACUGACUCUCCUUGUAUCCCGUGCUUGGAACGGCGUCGCUUCAAGCGACACGCUUUGGACUCCCAAGGUUCAUUUCCUUUCCUAUUCUUUCUUUUUUUUCCCCAAUCUUGUUGCCUCGUACCUGAAUUUAGGUUUGUUUCUUUUGUUUUAAAUUUAAUUAAUUAAUUUAGUGCUUUCUUCGGAGAACAUGAGAAUUGGGUUUUUUUAGUUUCACAAUUGGGUUUUUGUUUUAAGUGUUUUUGGUUGUUUGAAAUAAUCAUAUCAUGAAUACAAUUGAAUUUGAAUUUAAGCUUUUCAUGUCAUCAUCGAGUUUUAUGUUCCUAGUUUACAGGAAUUUGUAUUCAGCGCUGAGCUGGGGUUUUUGUUAAUCUUUUAGAAAGACAAGAAUAUAAAAUUAAUUAAAUCUUCACCUUAAAUUGCUAUACAUGCAUGUGUGGUAGAUGAUUAUGAAGAGAUGAGCACAGCUAAGCUCAGUACUGGAUGUAAAUCCAGCUUACAGGAUUUCUUGUCCGUCAGGAGCAUUAUAUGAAUACUGGACUUAUUAUUUGACUCAAUUUACUACUCGACUUGGCUUUCUUGACCAACUUGAAUUCGUCUGAGUAUUCUCGAUUUAAACUGAAUAUUAUUUGUCUAGUAUCUAUUUGUCUUUGUUCACCCCUUAAGGGUAUAUCUAUGUAAAGUGACUUAGUUGGGGUAUAUUGUUGGUAUAUUUUAUUUUUUUAAAUCCUGGGCCCUAGGAAGCCCUUUCUUAUCAUUGAAACUAGACAUUGGCUAAAUUAUUGGUUUAUUUAAAGGAUUGAGGUAUAUUUUUAUAUAAAACCAAACUGAAUUUAGGGGUGGUAAAAUCCUCCACGGGUUUGGGGCCCCAUGGAGCCCCACCCCAAAUGGGGAAAUUUUUUAAUAAUUUUUGGAGAAUGGGGUGGGGAGUGGGGGACACGUAAUCCCCAAAUUGUUAACGGGGUGGGGUUUGGUAUUGCACUCCCCACCCUACCCCCACCCCAAUUCCUAUUAUAUAUAAAUAUGUUUUUAAUUCUUAUUUAAUAAUUUGUAUUUUAUCAACUAUAAUGUCAAUUAAUAAUUUUUUUUAAUUUUUAUGUAAUAUAAAUAGAAUAUGAAUAAAAGAAAAUUCUACAAUAUUUUUCAAUUUUAAAACAUUAAUAUAUUUUAUUUCUCUUUUAAGGUACUGCUUUCUUUAAAUAUUUUUCACUUUUAAUAUCAUUUUAAGAUAUUGUUUCAAAUUUUUAGAGAUUUUUUUUAAAAAUUAAAUACUUUAUAAUAUUGUGAUGAUUUUAUCUUAAGUCUCUAAUUUUUAAUUUAUUGAAAUCAUAUUUUUAUAUCUACUAUAAAAUAUGUAAAUGGGGAAUGGGGUGGGGAUGGGGGAAUCAUUCCCCACGUGGGGAUUCCCCAUCCCCAACCCACUAAAUUUAUUGGGGAAUGAGGUGGGGAAUGGAGGCAAAAAUUUUUAAUGGGGUGGAGAAUGGGGUAGGCAUCCCCACCCCCACCCCGCCCCAUUGCCAUCCCUAACUGAAUUGUGAAUGCCGUUUUUACUGCCUUAUGGCCUAAGUUGCUUAUUCGUUCUGAUUGCAUGAUGUGAAGAAUUUUUUUUUUUUUAACUUCAAUUAUUUUCUCUGCUUUAUUUGAAACCUAAUCGGAAGAGAAUAUCUACCUUUUUUUAUUUUUUUCAGUUCUCCAGGUAACUUAAUGGGUCAUGCUUCUACUUUGAAGAGUAACUGAGUAAGGAUAAUUUACUUGAGUUUCCUGUCUAUUUUAGUGCGAGGAACUGUGGUUGGGGAAAGCGCACAUACCUCGUUCAGCUGUAGUCCAGGGGUUACCAAAGCUGGCCGCAUAUUCGUUGUCUGUCACAGAUGGCAAACGUGUGAGUGCUGAUCAAUCUCCCUUUGUUCUCCUGUCUCUCUUUUGAAUCAGUCACUUUCCAUAUGCACGUUUGACCAAGCUAUCACCAACUAUUCUGUUCUUUUUUAAAAAAAAAUUUCUUAGACUCAUAUCAUGACAGAAGACCUUUGUGAUCAUGUUUGGGAGUUUCAUUUUAACAAGGUAUGUAAUUUUAUUGCAGUGCUUCUCAUACGUUAUUAAUUAUUAGUAAGGUCUGGUGAGUGGUGACUCGCCUCUUGAUUUCAGUCUGGCCUUGACGUGGUGCCAAAAUUACUAGAACUUGCAUGAGUUUGAAAUGUGAACAUAUAAAACAUUAAUGUUUUGACGCUUUAAAAGUUUGAUCAUGUGUAGCCUUGGUAAUGAAAUUUCGGUCCAUGAGGAACGAAACUCAUGAAUUAUAAUCUGCCUAUUUGUAAGGCAUUGCUCAUAAUUCAGGCACUCACUAAUGUAACUAUUCCCUGGACUGGUCACAAGUAAAUGAUAAUCCUGGUAAUCCUAUAUUCAAACAUUUCUUAGCAUGCAUCCAAGCAUCCAAGGCGUUCGUGGUGUGUCCUUUCCUUUACUCUGCAGCUUUCUACUAUUUUGUUGGAAACUGAAAUGAUCAAUUGAUCGGAUGACUGCCUUUGAAUGCCAUUUUGCCUUCAGGUGGUACCAGAGUAUUGGCUUAAUCUCGAUCCCUACUGGAAGGGUACUAGCCCUCUAAUGCACCGUUACUUUCAUGAAGAUGGGAGUCAAACUGCAGAUCCUGGUGACGAAGUAUGGGGCGGGCAUGAAUGCUGUUACUCUAUAGUUACCAGUGUUGUUGGUGAAGGAAAGAUUAGGGAGCACUAUGUUAGAAUAAACCGCUGCUGGCUGCAUAUGCUUGUCUCUAGGAAGGACUGGAGCUGGGAAAUGUCGAAUGUCCUGUACUGCUACUCCAGUGUUCCUGAUGGCCACAGGGUUGGUGGUACAGGACCCCUGCUUCUAUGUGUCUAGAAUGAAGUGCUGCCGGGUUCGCCAAAUAGAUAUAGAAUAACUUUCCAAUGAGAAAGCUUGACUAAAGUAAAUGACAGGAAGAAACACAUACUCCAAUGUAGUGUUUACUGCCGUUUUAUCAAUUGACUUUUUCUUUAUCUCUUUUAAUAGGGUCCAGCUACAUUGCGUCAGAGGUUUGGUACCCCAGUCAUUUGUCCUUUUGCAAAUGACCCUUUAGAUCGUAAAGAAAGGUAAUCAACGGCUGAGGUUUAACACUUAGAAAAUGGGUAACCGGCUUUAGCUACAAUCUCAGUAAAAGGAAAACAAAAAGGACGUAUAUAAUCCUUUGCUCCAGAAGGCUCUAGACUUCGUCAAUGAGCCAAACAGAGACAGCCGUUUGCUCCAGAAACUCCCCCUCUUGUGCCUCCAUGGCGACGCCGUUACCGCCUCCGUCACCAUCCUCUCCGACGCAAGACUCCGCUCGAAUCCGAACAAAUACGACCGCUUCAGCAAAAAAUCACAGUCGUUGAACCUCUCCUCCGAGUUGAAGUUCCUGUUGUUAAUCGCCACCGCCACGUCAUCAACGCACGGUGUGAUUUCAGAACCGUUCGUGGAGGCAGCCGUCGUCGUCGGCAUUUGGAUUUUCAAAUAAAGACUCAAGGGACACAGUCACGAGUCGUAGCAAUGAGCUGUCAUCGAGACUCGAUCGGAUUCUCACCGCCAUUAUGGGAACAAACGGAGACUCGGUCAGAAAACAUCCAUCUACCAAAUUAGUUAGGCAAUUUGGAUUUCUGAUUUUGUUUUUGUUUUCAUACACACUCAUCCGGCACAGACGACGGACCACCGCCACGUGAUCGAGAUCUCCGUUGCCAUCACCAACAGUCACGCGAUAGCCGACACUCACAAAGAGAUGGAAUUAGUUACAUAUGCCAUUCUUAUUGUGGAUUUCAAAAUGAAUUACUUCGUUGGGGGUCAAGUGGGUUGAAUGGUGGAAAUUGUUGGUCAAUAAAGGAAGAUGAAAAAUUUAUGGAAUAUGUAGACGAUUCCCUGCUUCAGUUCUGCAAGCGUAAGGUUUUUUUGCCGAAAUUGAGAGUAUUCCUGACUCUUCUAGAUGUUAAAGUAUCAGCUCGUAUGACUGGUGAAUGGAUUGGGAUUGGCCAUUGAGAAGAUGGUAAAAGAUUUAGGUUUUGAAGUCAUAAGUGAAAAUACUGUGUAUACUGUGUGUAAAUGAUCAGAUGGUCUGAUGGCUUACUGGUGAAUGCUCCUUGCUUGAAGAUUUGUUUUGUUAUGAUUGUUGGGACUUGAAGCAUUUGUGUGUCUCAAGGGCUGUCAAACUCAAGGUUAUAUGAAUUAGAUUAUUUGUUGAGGAAAUUGAAACUCUAGAAAUUAUUGUUCUAAGUUUUCAGCAAUUAACAAUUCUCUUUCCGGGGGGAGGAAAGACCAUGCCUAAUUGAGUAGUUAAGUCUGCACAUUUUAAAAGUGAAGCUGAAUUCGAUAUAGUUUAUUGAUGAAGAGUUUUAUCACCUUAUCUCGAACUUACACUUUCUUGAGGAUCUCUUGUUAAGUUUCUGUUGUUUGCCUGAAAGAUUAAGAUUUCUUCUAGCAAUGAGCUAAAGAAUUUACAAUUUUAUACCUGUGAAAAUUUAAAGCUAAUUGAUGUUGAUAUAUAAAUUUACAAAUGCUCAUGAUUUAGCUCACAAAUUAAAAUGAAAUAGCUCAAGAUUUAUAAAUUUAAAAUCAAACUGCUCACGAUUUUAAAAACAAUCACUAAAUGUAGGAAGAAUAAGAUCAAAACUAAUGCUUGCGGGGGAAAUUGAAACUCUAGAAAUUGUUGUUCCAAAUUUUCAGCAGUUAACAUUUCUCUUUCUCGGGGGGAGGAAAGACCAUGCGUAAUUGAGUAGUUAGGUCUGCACAUUUUAAACGACCAUGGCAUUUUGCAGUUUGGAAGCUCUGGGGUUUUGCAGUUUGUAGUCUGCAGAUUGGAAGUUCUGAGCGGAGUGUUGUAGUUCAGGCGCAAAAAGAAGGACAAAGAGAAUGCUCACAUGCUGCACAGCUGGAAUUAAAAGGAAAGCAACCAGAGCAAAACGCACCGUACAACUGGAAUUAAAAGGAAAAGCAAAGCAAACACACCGUUUCUGGCAAUAUUCGGGACGCGGAUUCGGGGUUAAAGUCGGAAUAAAUAGUUUUUUCCUAAUAACUUACAUUAAUAGAUUAUGGGAGAAUAUCCCAUCAAUUUUUAUUUUUUUCAUAUUAACUCACUUUUAUGGCUUCUAACCUAACCCUUUUAUCUUCUCUUAUUAACAUAAGACAAUAAACUACUCUAAAAUAUUUAUCUAGGGGUCUUUUUUUGAAAAAAAUAUUAUUUUCACCUUAUAAUUUUGUAUACCUAAACUAUAUUAUUCUUACUUUACUUAUUCCUCCAUACCAAACACUAUAUUGGACUUAAAUUUUACUAAUUUAAGCCAAUCCCACCAUCUUUAAUUGCAUUCACUAGCUCGUAAUUGUUUCGAUCUUCUUAUGUAAAGUAAGCUGCAACUCCUUUCUCAUAACAGUGGUUACAAAAAAUGCAUUAACACAUUAGCUUUCUCUUACGCCAGUGCUAAUAUUAUUUAUAUAAUUUUUUUUAUUGCUAAAGAAAAUUUGCUAACCUAUGUGCCUAGAAGAUUGAUGGGUAGAGGGACAUUUGGCAUGCCGUGGGUUAUAAUUUUCAUAUUGAUGUCGACUUUCGUUCCAAUCACAUCCUAGUGUCUGAUGGGUAUUGUUCAUCACUUCCCGAGGGGCAGCUGUUACUAGACAACAUAAAGAGGGCUUCAUUCUUGUCAUUGGCCACCAAUAUUGUUGAUCUUUGUUAUUAAUUAAGUGUACUUAUUCAUUUAAUUUGGAUAUGCUGGUUCAUGUCCCCCUCCACAUGUUGGUUAUCUUUUACUUAUCGGGUGGGGGGUCUAUGUCUAUCUCCUCCCCCCCUCCCCCCCCCCCCCCCCCCCCAACCUAUCUGGUGCUGGUGGUUUAAAAUUAGAAAAAGGAAAUGGAAAUUGUGGCUACAAGACUAUUUGAUUAUUAUUAUUAUAUUAGGAGAAUUAUAUGCUUUAUACUUAAUAAAUUAAGAUUUACAAUAUAAGAUACUGACUAAAAGAGAUGCAUAUAUACAACACAAUUUUUUUCGUACACUAAAACUAUUGUUUUUAUUUCGCACUUAUUACUUUAAACUCUUUACCGAAACAAACAGGGACUAUUGAAUAACAUGUUAAAUAAUUUUAUUAAUUUUUUAAUUAUUAUAAUUUAAUUGGGUCUUAUUCCAUAACAAACUAUAAAACUCAUAGUUUCUAUUACUUACAACAAACAAUAGAGACUGUCAAAGAAAAUAGUUAAAAUAGAGUGUCAAAGAUAUUUUUCUCUUUCUUUUUCCCUCUUUUAACUGAUCCGUCAUCUCAAAAAAGCCUCAAUUUUUUGGUUGAUGAUUUAUUAUUAUUAUUAUUAUUAUUACGUAAAUUAUCAUCGUUGUCGUCGUCGUCAUAAUUAUAAUAUUAAGCAUUAUUAGUUUAUUAUUAUUAUUAUUAUUAUUAUUGUUCAAAAUUGGAAAUGACAUGGCUUAUUAUUUAAACUCCAAGGAUAAAAUUAAAAUUAAAUAUUAUUCGGGUUAAAGGGAAAUUUUCCCUUUUUUUCCCCACCAAUUACUUUUGCAAUGCAUCGCCUGAUCACUUAUUAUUAUUAUUAUUAUUAUUAUUAUUAUUAUUAUUAUUAUUAUUAUUAUUAUUUUGUGAAUGACGUGGCCUACUAUUUAAACUACAUGCAUAAAAAUUAAAUUAAUUCUUACUUCAAAUCUCAGGAUUAUGGAAUUUUCCCCUUUUUUCCCCCCACCAAUUACUUUUUCCCAAUUUUCCAUUUCCGCCAAAGACCUCAACCCAGACUUGCACGCUUCCACCAAAUUGUUUUGAACCAUUACUUGCAUUCACUUGGCGUUUGUUUCAAUACAUGUCUUCGUAACUCACGUGGCAACCAUUAAAUGGCUACUUUUGUCAACUUCUUUUUUCCCCUCUAUGUUACUGGGCCCUUACCUUCUUGUCCGGUUAAAUGCAAUCGACUCUGUGUCACUUCUUCAGCCGUGAGAUUAUAUCCAAUGGCUGAUUCACUAUAGGACAAGCGACUGGGGUACCAAACCCCUGACGCAAAUUAGCUAUGCCCCUUUUAAUAAUAUGAGGCUUCUCAUCGGAAGUCCUUUGUUGGAAAAGGUCAUAAGUGGUAAUUGGUACUUCGUUAUUUUGCGGAAUAAAAUAGUUACGAAGUGUUUUUGGAUAUGCAAUGGACUUUACUGAUAAGUUUUUUAGCUCAUGUGCAUGAUCCAUGUGGUUGCUUCCCUCAACAUAAACAUAUUUAUAGAGGUUUUUUUUAAUCUUUUUAUUUUUUAAAAAAAUUGGGGUGCAGACAAAGUUUAAAUUAAUAUUUUUUAACUCUUAUUUUUGCGGAACCCAAAUUAUAGAUUUUUUUCCUUUUUUUAAUUUUCUAAAAAGGUUAAGUUGUGGUUAAAAUUUAAAUUAAUGUUGCGCAUAUAAUUAGGUUCGGCAACUUAGUCUUUCUCAUGAGAGCUUGCACAAGGAUUUUUUAUAAGAGUUUAAAAAAAAAAGUUUAUAUCAGAUUUGAUCCUCUUUUUUUUCUUAAUAUAACUUUAAAUUAAAAUAUAAAAAUAAUAAAAAAAGAAUUGAAAAUUUAAAUCCCUAAUUCAUAAAUUAAUGAUGAGUAAAAAAUAUAAAAUUAUAAUAUUAAACUAUGUCUUAAGUUUCAAUUAAUUAAAGGAUUUUUAAAUUAGAUAAUUCAAUAUUAAAAAAUUAAAUCUAUAAAUUUUUAUUUAUUAUUUUAUUUUAAAUGGUUAAUUUCUUUAAUUGAAUGUUAUUAUUAAUUUAUUACAAAUUUAUAAUGAUUUAAAAAUUUAUUACAAAUUUACAUGGGUAUCAUUACCACGAAUUUAGCAUUACCAACAUUUAUUGAAUGACCAUGCAUUUGGUUUGGAUUGUAAUUCAGAAUUGGUAGUAUUGCAUUGUGAGUGAGAAGGUAAUAAAUAGCUACAAAUUUGGUAGAAGAUAUGGGAUUGUUGAAUGUAUUUUCUGCCAUAAUGAUUUUCAAAUAAUUAUAUUUAAUUGGUCACUAAAUUCAAAUCCUAGAGGGUGGUGGUAGAUAAAAAUUCAAUUUGAAUUAUAAUUUUAUUUAUCUUUUGGCUCUGUACACUCAGAAAUGGAUUAUCGUGCGAUUCAAAAAUUAUUUGAAAAAAGGAAGUCUGAUCAAAGAAACAGACCAAUAUUUGUAGACUCCAAUUCAUUACGCUGCAUAUCAUAAUCAAUAUCAACAGAUAUAUGUGCUAUUAGAAAUUGAUCCAACUGCUUCAAACAUUUUUGACAAAGAUCAAAAGAUGACAGCUCUUCAUUUGGCAGCGGGCCGAGGGCUUGCUAAAGCAAAUGAAAGAAUUCUUUCUCUUGCAGCAAAAUGUUAUGAACUGUUCGAUAACAGGGGAUGGAAUUUUUUUCAUUAUGCAAUGGUCAGUUUUUUUUUUUUUUAUGAUUUAAAAACUUUCCUAAAAAAUCCGUUAUCGAGGAGUCUUAUAAAUGAGGGGGAUGCCAAGGAGAACUCUAUAUUAUUAGGAAGACUCAAGCCAAUGAUCACUAUGUCAACGAGCAAAAUGUUUUUGGUAGACACCUUUUGAAAUAUGGCUAUCCUACGCUCUAAGGUAAUUAAUUUGUUAAUUCUUUCAACUUAUAAUCCAGCUUUCUUUUUCAUUACUUUAUUUCUUUUUUUUUUUUUCUUUUUUUGAGUGGGACUAUUAGCACCCCUCUAAAUAUCUCUUAACACCCCUUUUCUUAAUUAACCCCAUUAAAUGUUUUAAAAAAAUUAAAUAAUUCUUUGAACACCUCCAUUAAUAAUAAAAAUACCCUUAAUUAAAACUUAUUGUGUAAACCCCAUUCUCUAAUUUUUAUUAUUAAACCUCAUUUCAAUAAUAGGGUCUCUCCUAUUUAAAGAAAAAAUAAUAGGUUUUUAUUCUCUCCAUAGUAGCUAUCGGUGGUAAAUUCCUUACUCGAAAAUUAAAGGAAAAAGCAACCUUUUUAAUUUCUAAAAUUUUAGAUUUUAUAAGGAAAAAAAAAAUUAUUUGACUUUUGAGUGGAGAUUUUCUUAGAAAUUGGCCUAUUAUGUAAUUUUAAUAAAGGUUAAAAUCGUAAAAUACUUAAAGGAAUUUUAAGAGCUAUUUGGAGGGGUGCUAAUAGUCCUACUCUUUUUUCUUUUUUUCAGUUUAUGCAAUUAAUUCAUAUUCAAAUUCAAAUUACAGGAGAAAAUCCAAAAGUUGCCCAAAGAUGUUGGCAGAGGACAAUAUCCAGACAGUGCCAUAUUCAUAAGAACAGUGCUAUAUUGCUAAGACCAGAUCCAAAUGCAGUGGCACGUGCUGUGUUUACUUGACAGGGCUAGUCCGAAUAAUUAUUCAACAUGCCUUAAAAUUUUAUGGUUUUUUUUUAUUUUUUAAAUCAUUUUUUCUCAAGUAUGUCCUUAAAUCAAUCUUUAUUAAAAUAAAUAAAAUAAUAUUUAUAGUUAAGUUAUUCUUUUUUGGAACCUUUAAAAUUCAAAAUUAAAAAUAGUAAUUUAUCUUUUUAAUUACUUUCUUUAGAGCAAGUUUCUCGAUGUUGCAAUAUCUUUUGAAUAUUUUUUUUGUUACGUUCACACAAACAUAUACAAUAAUUUCAUAAAUUCAUAAUCUAACCCUGCCUGGUCAAAAGAUUAUCUUGACGAUCCUAAAUAUGAUUACAAAGAUAUGACAGCGUCCGAUGUUGUAGUAUAGUGAAAAUUACCCUUUAGGACAAUGCUUUGCACCCCCCUUGAGGAAUUUUCUCUGAGUUCGUAUUCGUUGGUCGGAUAACAAAUUCUUAGUUGUAGGAAGCAACUAUUUGGUUUCCGGCUGCAGCCACAAGGUUAUGAUUGUAACUUUCUUUUUUAAAUAACAAAGAAUACUGUUGUCAAGCUAUUGUCCAUCACCGUUGAGUUUUUUGAUGGGUGUUGUUGUUCCGGCUGAGCUGAUCCUUCAAAAAGUUAUUUUGCCUCAUAUUUCCAACGUAAAUGGCCCAACAAAUUUGUGUCAUUCUGUAUAUUUAUUAAUAUGAAUACGUUUCGUAAUUGUGCAACUUAUCUUUCUGUCUUAGUUGAUAUGUUAAAAAAAUUAACCGGAGAAAAAGAAGAUCUAACAUUUUUUUCUGGUCAAGGCAGCUGCUUCUCGAAAAAAUACUGUCGCUGAUAUCUUAGGUUUCUCGGAAGGCUCUUUUCCUUUUGUUUAUCUUGGAGUUCCAAUUUUCAAGGGUUGUAUUUUUUCCAUUGAAAACACUACAACGUUUUGCCUUUGUUUUUCUCAGCGGUCUCUCACCCCACGAUUGAUUGAACAUUUCUCUUACCAAUUAAAAGAGUAAGUAAACAUUAAUUAAAAAAUUAUCCAGGUCAGCAAAAUGUCAACAGAUAGAUGCACAAAAACUCUAUUCGCCUCCAGAUAAACUUGUAGCAUUUAGAUGCAACCCUUAAAUAAUAAAGUUACUGCUUUCAAGUCGUUGUUCAACACCAUUGUGUUUGCUGAUUGGUACCAUUGUUCUGACUGAUUGAAGCUUUUAACGAAACUAUAUUGAAUCAUAUCAAAUGGACCCUGAUUUCACAGCUGCAGUUAAAAUACUGAACCUUUCAAGGAUAUGGGAAGAGAUGUAACUUUGAACUAGAGGCGUCAGUGGACUUGACACAGCUGAAUGUGUAAAUAUAUUUUGCACAAACUAAACAAUUGUAAAACUUUGAAGUUGUAGGAUGGGAAUUGCAUAAUAAGAUUGUCUCACUGGAACCAUUGUGAUGCUCGUAUUAAAAAGCUAAAGGGAAGAAAAAAAUGAUUUUCAUUCAUUCUUUAUUGUCUAUUUUACGAUGAUAUAAAUACAUAAGCUAUUGUAAUAAUUAUAAAAGAAAGUCAAAGGAAAAAUAAAUAAAGAAGGGUAGUAGUUAUCUGGUGAGAAGAAAAUAAAUGAAAAAGAGUAGUAGGUGUCCGUAGGAAAAAAAUAAAUAAAGUGGAGAGGAAAAUAAAUGAAAAAGAGUAGUAGGUGUCAAUAGGAAGAAAAUAAAUGAAGUGGGGGGUGGUGGCAAUUAUUAUGUCUAUUUUAAAAAUCAUCAUUGCAUCUCAAUAGUCAUCAUUGCAUGUUUUUUACAUGUACCCUGUAGUUAUUAUGCUUGCCUACCAAUAGUGUGAAUCAAUUAAAGGUUGGUGGAGGAAUAAAGAACAUAUGUUAAACUAAGGUAAGAAUUUCCAUAUACAUAAAUAAUAGUUAAUUAAUUAAGUGAUUUUAAAUCACUUAGAUGUUUUUCUGUCAUACAAAACGUAUAAACGUCUAUAAUUAGUACAUGAAUGACAUAUUCCAUAUAGUAUCAUUUAGGAAGUGAUUUAACAAGUAACAAGAGGGCUAAGAGGCAACGUUGAAUCACUUUUCUUUUGUAGAAUUAAUGAACUAUCAAUUGUACUCAUAGAGGAUUCCCCUAUUAUUUUAUUGUUUGCAGUCACUUAAGAGUCACUUGAUUCUUUACCCAACAAACAAAAAGAGCAGAACUGUAUAUGGAAUCCGAUCGAAAUGUGAUAAGGAAGGCUGCAGUAUUUAAAGAUUGAGGAUAUGGCGAUGCAGACUUUUUCAAUGUUAAGGACAAAACAAAAGAAGAAACCAUGGUCAACUUUAAUAAUUAAUUGGUAUAUAUAUUUUUUUGUCUGAGUUCUUGAAAAUAUUGCGCCACAGUUUAAUAAUUAUUAAUUAAACAUAAAGCACCCACAGUUGAGAAAUUGAAUAGUUUGCCAAAGAGAAUGACUAAUCUCAAUUUAUCUUAUUUGUUUAACUAAAAGAGCAUGAGGAAGAAAUCAAGGUUAAAAUUUAAAAAUGUUGAUUCUUGGCUUGUCAAAAGAGUGAGAAUUAAUGUCGAUACUUUUAACUGUCUGUUUGUUUCUUUUUCGUUUCCGAUAAUACUUCCCUGUUGUUGGCCCUCUUUGUUUCUUUCUUCAAUAUUUUCUACUCGGCCCAUUGAGCCCAUAAUUUCCUGUGCUGCUAUCAACUUGUUUUCCCGCUUUUUUCCUUUCAUUUUUCCCUCCACAAUUAGGGAUGGCAAAAUCCGGGUCCGGUUCCGGGUUCGGCCUUCCCGGUUCCGAACCCGGAUGUCAUUUUCUUUUUACCGGACCCGCAUAUAACCCGGAUUUUUUACAUGCGGAUCUGGUCCGGGUUCAACCCGGAAAAAUUAAGGGUUCCGGAUUCCGGGUUUGAAACCCGGAUUGUCUUUUGAAUUAUGAUUAAAAAAUAAAAAAAAAAAAUUAGAAACUACAAUUCAAUCACAAAUUAAAACCGAUUAACCUUUUUUUUCCGUGAAAUUCAGGCAGGUACACAAGAUAGAUCUUAAUAUGAAGGCGUUGCAAAUACUACCAACAAAAUUCAAUAAAUUAAUAACCUAAUAUAGGAAGUGGAUGCACGAAAAUUACAAUUAAUUUUGAAUUGUAAUGGCAUCAAAGACCGUGGCCCACCCAAAUCCACCAUGCAAUGCCAUCAAAGACAGCCCCCACCAUGGAAUAUGACAAACGAGAAGCACAGGCGGGCUUAGAGGUGGAAGCUAAUCCAGGCGAUUUUGCAAGAGUUGAACGAUUGAGAAUGAAUGGUGGUCGCAGCAGUGCAGAGAAGAGGAACACAGUAACUGAUGAUGAUAAUGAACACAGAGAAGAGAAAAUGGCCGAAGUGAUGACGACGACGACUUGAUUUGAUGAAGAGAAAAGGAAAUAUGGUUGGCGGCCGGCGGAUGUGAGAUUUGAGAAGAGGAAUGCGAAUUGCAAAAUUAGGGCCGGCUGUGCGCAUUAUUAUUUCCUUCCUUUCUUUUCUAUUUAUAUUAAAAAUUAUUAAAAAUUUAAUAUUAAAAUGAAAGAUAUCCGGGUCCGGGUUUCGGAUAUGCGGGUUCACCUAAACCCUGACCCGAACCGGAUAUCAUCCGGGUUCAUAAAAUUAAAUCUGGAUCCGUAUUUUAUAUAACUGCAAUACGGAUUCAACCCGGACCGGAUUAUCCUGAUUCGUCCGGGUCCGGAUUAUUCUGCCAUCCCUAUCCACAAUGCUCUCUUCCCUAUGCAUCUGCUUCAUCUCUGUUUCACCUGCUAUCUUGCUACAGUCGAUCUUCUGCAAUCUCUCUCCAUUUAAUGCUCCCACACCUACUUCUUCCACCUGGCUACCUCUCAUUGGAUUUGAGCAAAUCGCCAUAUUAAUUUGGCUUGGCCCGGAACAGCCUCCACUCUCAUCCGGAUUGGCCCGACCCGUAUUUUUUCGGUGUCGUUACCCUGUCAAAAAAGCAAGAAUUUAAGACGUGUGAAAAAUACUACACUUUUCAAGUCAUAUAUACAUACAUGUAAGGUUUAGAGGAAGAUCUAUGAGUACCUCCGAGAUACUGGGUACCCUUAUCUAAUAGAUCAACUUCGCCGACAUGAAUUCUGUUUCCAAUGAGAUUGAGGAAGCUUCAUUAUUGGACAACAAUGGCGAGAUCAGUCAGUCGCAAAUAGACCCAAAUUUGUUCAAAGCCGCAGCUGCGGGAAAUUUGGAGCCCUUCAAAGAUAUGGCAAGAGAGGUAAUUGAGAGAUUGUUAACAGCAAAGACCAAAAACACAAUCCUGCAUAUCAAUAUCAUAUCCCAAGAAAGAGAAAACGUGUCAACGAAGUUUGUAGCAGAAAUACUUGAGAAAUGCCCAUCGCUGCUACUACAAGUUAAUGCCAAAGGCGAUACUCCACUUCACGUUGCGGCAAAAUUUGGCCAUUCUGAUAUAGUGAGGGUUCUUGUGGAAAGAGCAAAACUACCUCAACAUGAAAAUGAAGAGCUAGAGAGCAGGGUAGGAGCUGCCAGGCAGAUGAUUAGGAUGACAAAUAAUGAGAAGAAUACAGCACUCCACGAGGCAGUGUGUCACCAAAACGUCGAUGUGGUGGAAUUACUGACGAAAGAAGACCCUGAUUAUCAAUAUUCUGCAAAUAAUUACGGCAAAACGCCACUCUACAUGGCUGCUGAUUAUCGGUCUUCUAAUAUGGUGCUUGCCUUAUUUGUAAACAGCACAUCAGUGUCUCAUGAAGGCCCCAACAGAAAGACGGCUUUACAUGCUGCAGCAAUGGAAUUUCCUUUCGGUAAGUUUAGUUAUACCCUUUCAGUAGGAAUUUCAAUAUUGAUAUCUUUCUAUUAAUAGAUUCUUUCCAUAAUGUUCAAGUAAAUACACCCUUUUAAUUCAUUAAUAAAUUAUUAAUUGCCAUCAAUUUAAUCAGGAUAAAUUGUCAGAUAUAAUUUUCUGAAUAAUGACAAAAAUACUCUCAAUUUAUGAAGAAAUUAAGCGUUGUUAUGAAGGAGUUAAUUUUUCUACUGUGAAAUCUUCCUAAAAAAACUAGUCUUUAGAAUUGUAAAUGUACUGAAAAUUGGUCUUUUGGAUAACUAAGAUAGGGAAAGUUGGUUUUAGGAUAAUUAGAUUCACCGAAUUGGUCUUUAGAAUAGUGCUUCAAACGUGUCUUAGUGAAUUUUGCAAAAAUUGUUAUUUCUAGAUGCAAAAUCAGGGAAAUAAUUGCAAGUUUUUAUUUUGUUAAAUAACAAAGUUACCGAUCUGAAGCCAUUAUUCAUCACUCAUCGUGUGAUUGGUGUUGGCAUUGUUGUUCUAGACUUCUGGCUGAUUUGUAAUUUAAAAAAGCUAUUUUUUUUCUCAUAUCUCCAACAUAAAUAGCCCCCAAAUUUAGGCCAUUUCUAGAUAUUUACUUUUAUUAAAAAAUUUAAUUAUUAUUUUAUUUAUCUUCUGUAUUCUCAGUUGGUACUGCAUUACGAAAAUUACUUGAGAAAAAGAAGAAUCUGAUCAAAGAAACAGAUCAAUAUGGGUGGACUCCAAUUCAUUACGUUGCAUAUCAUGGAAAUUACAGGACGAUAAAUUUGUUAUUAGAAACUGAUCAAUCCGCUUCGAACAUUGCUGACAAAGAUGGAAAGAUGACAGCUCUUCAUUUGGCAGCGGGCCAAGGGCAUGCCAAAAUAGUUGAAGCAAUUAUUUCUAAAAAUCCAGAAUGUUACGAGCUGGUCGAUAACAAGGAAUGGAAUUUUCUCCAUUAUGCUAUGGUUAGUUUUCAUGUUGGACAACUAAGAAAUCUUCUUGAAAAUAAUCCGUUAGCGAGGAGUCUUAUAGAUGAGGGGGAUGCCGAGGGAAACACUCCUCUCCAUGUGCUUGCUGCAGUCCGUCCAACUGAAUUCCAUGAUGUUAUGAAUAGGAGUACUCAAGCCAACUAUGACGCUGUCAACAAACAAAAUGUUAGUGUCAGACACAUUUUUAAUUAUGGCUAUCCUGAGCUCAAGGUAAUUAUUUAAUUUGUUCUUUCAACUAAAUUAUUAAAUUUAAUUUUUUUUACGCAAUUAAUUAAUAUUCAAAUGUAAAUUAAUUACAGGAAGAAAUCCAAAAAUUAUCCAAAGAAGUUGGAAGAGGACAAUAUUCAAAAGGUGUUAUAUUCAUAAGAGAAGUGCAAAAGUAUGUUAAUAAAGAAAAUUACAAGGAUACAAGAGCAUCACAUUUGGUAGUGGCUGCACUCAUAGCAACAGUAGCCUUCGCAGCAGCUUUCACCAUUCCUGGCGGUUAUAGAAGCGAAAAUGGAACUGCAAUCCUGAGGAGAAAUAAAGCUUUUCAAUUAUUUAUGGUAGCAGAUUCCAUUGCCAUGGCCUUUUCUCUUUCUGCCGUCGUUACUCACUUCUGGUUGUCUUAUGUAACUGAAGAAACUAAAGAUUUCAAUGAGGAUUUGUUCCACGCUUCCAUUUGGUUCACCUUAUGGUCCAUGGCAGCAAUGGUGAUUGCAUUUGUUACGGGCACAUAUGCAAUGUUAGCCCCUUCUUUAGGCCUUGCUAUUAUCACUUCUUUAAUUGGCCUGAGCUUUUUCUUGCCUGCGAUUUUGAUCGUCAGAUUGUCUUAAAUAAGUAGGACAAAAGUAAUUGAUUGUAGCGAGUCACCAUCUUUGUUUAUCAAUAAAAUGAUUGAUUUUCAUUUAACAUAAACAUUAAUUAAUUUACUCAAUCUUUG